GGGAGCGAUCGCCGGGGACGCUGCGGUGAAGGGAACCCCGGCCCGUCGUCGUGCUGCAGCCUCGUGCAGGCGGGGAUGAUGAGAGGGUGCGGUGGAGGGAGCGCUGGCGGGCACAACGCCUCCCUCAGGAAACCCCGGCGCGGGUAACGCCAUCCCUUCCCCGCUGUGCUGGCAUAUUGCAGAAGAGCUGUGCUGGCAGGAAGAUGGUGCUUAUUCUGUGAGACUGUAUUUUCAGCAUGUUAUGCAACAGCAGCAGGAGACCCACAUGGCCUCAUUUGCUUUCCACAUGUCUUUCUGAGAUCCAUCCUGGCUAGGAGAGAGUAAUCCACCCCUCCCAGGACAUCAAAUUAAGGCUGAGAAGACAACUGUCUCAGACAAACCCUCAGAGCCUUCAGAGACACCAGUGGAAUCAUACAGAGGUUUUCUGGAGAACAGCUGUUCUGUUCAACCUCAGCCAUC